rnacentral:rRNA from 2 species
GAAAGCCUUCGGCUUAACCGAAGAAGUGCAUCGGAAACCGGGCGACUUGAGUGCAGAAGAGGACAGUGGAACUCCAUGUGUAGCGGUGGAAUGCGUAGAUAUAUGGAAGAACACCAGUGGCGAAGGCGGCUGUCUGGUCUGCAACUGACGCUGAGGCUCGAAAGCAUGGGUAGCGAACAGGAUUAGAUACCCUGGUAGUCCAUGCCGUAAACGAUGAGUGCUAGGUGUUGGAGGGUUUCCGCCCUUCAGUGCCGGAGCUAACGCAUUAAGCACUCCGCCUGGGGAGUACGACCGCAAGGUUGAAACUCAAAGGAAUUGACGGGGGCCCGCACAAGCGGUGGAGCAUGUGGUUUAAUUCGAAGCUACGCGAAGAACCUUACCAGGUCUUGACAUCUUGCGCUAACCUUAGAGAUAAGGCGUUCCCUUCGGGGACGCAAUGACAGGUGGUGCAUGGUCGUCGUCAGCUCGUGUCGUGAGAUGUUGGGUUAAGUCCCGCAACGAGCGCACCCUUGUUA